GCGCACUGGGCGCCGAUUGCUGCCCAUCGGGUUGACCAAUUCUGCUCGGAGGAGCUCUUGGCCUCUCGUGGGGUGCAGGAGGUGAUAACUAUCUGUGGGUCUUCCUCAGCGUCCUACAGACAGACACCAAGUCAUCAUUUGAACAACUUUAAGUGAAAUACCCUUACCAACAGAAAAGUCAACUACAGCAAGGUCUCAAGGCUCACACCUGACAGCCCAAACCCCAGCACUCAGGAGGAAGAAGACAAGCCCGAAGGCCCAUCAGCGAGCUGAGUGCAUGCUGCACAACAAAGAACGAGGACCCGGGUUCAGACUGCCAGACUCAGCCUGGCAAAAGCUGGACGCAGUAGCAGCAGUGUAACAGCAGUGUUUCUAUGGGGAGGAGGGAGGCUGCGACAGAGAAUCCCAGAAGCCCUGGGACCAGCCAGCCUGGCUUAUGCAGCAGGAAAACAACAGACCCUGCCUCCAAACAGGGUGGAGUGUUUGGACGUGUUGCCUGCAUGUGUAUCUACAUACCACUCUCGUACAUGGUGCUCACAGAGACCAGAAGAGAACACUGGAUCCCCUGGGCUGGAGAUAGAGGCUGGAGAGAUGGCUGAGAGGUUAAGAGCACUGGCUACUCUUCCAGAGGACAUGAGUUCAAUUCCCGGCACCCACAUGGUGGCUCACAACCACCUGUAACGAGAUCUUAUGCAGCCCAAGCCCACCUCCAAUGUACUGUGUGGCUGAGGAUGACCUUGAACUUGUGAUCCUCCUGACUCUGUCUCCUGAGUGCUGGGAUAUCAAGCAUACACCACUAAUGGGCCCCUGGCUCUGAUUCCUAAAACGGUUUUAAAAAAAAAGGGGGAGAUGGGUUUAAGCUUUGACGAAACAAAGUUAAAAGGCAAAACUACCCUUCAGGAAAUAAUACAGAUAACUUCAUAUGUGCAUAAAACUCUCUAUGCCUGCUUAAUAAACCACAAUGCCAAAGACA